UUCUCCAAUGAGCACAGCAAUAAAUAUUCAUUGUUCUUAGAAUCAUAGUAGCCCAACGGACCUUUUUCACAAUCAGCACAAGCAAGUAAUUUAUAAUUAUUUGCUAAGGGUUUUGAUACGCUAACGUUGUCGAAAGCAAACGGAUCUUUUAGAAGAAAAAAAUCGUCAGUUUCUAGAUCUUCUUGUGUUUCAGAAUGCAGCAUAGCUGACAUUGUUGGCCUCUUAACAACAUCUGGACGUUUGUUAUUAAAUACGACUGAAGGGCAAUGUUGACAAACAAUUCGCAAAUUCGACAUAAUUUAGGAAAACAAUAUGGUGGUAGUUAGUUAGUAGUAAGCGCCAAUCAGCGUUUUUUGUGGAUAUAACCUAUUAAAAAAAUAAAAAUACAAGAGAAAACUUUUAAAAGUUUAAAUGCUAAUUACAAGUUCUUCAAAUUUAAUUCAAUACAUGUAGCAUUCAUUUCCAAAAUAGGUACUGACGUGUCUAGUGCAAUGAAGAUAUGGAAAACAAUGUUUUGCAUUUUGACGAUAGAAGCAAAUCAAUAAUUAGACGCUGAAAACUUCUUUUUUUUUGACAUGCUAUUUGGUUUCAUAAAUUAACAUGGCCUGGUUUUCACUAUAUUUAAACUUCACCACAUAAUUAGUAAGUUAUUAUAAAAGAAAACGCAAAAAAUUUUUAUUUGCUCGUCUAAUGUGUUCUUGAAUAUUGUCUUUCUCUUAAUGUUAAACGAGACAUAUCAGUUCGCCUGAUGCAUUGGUUCAUAUAGUAGUUAUUUUCAAAUUUAGAAAUUCGGACACAUAAUUCUUCUAUCCUUCUAUGUUAAAUACAGAACCUUUUUCUUUCUACUCAAUUUGCUUUCCGUGUUGCAACCUUGACACAUACUAAAACUUUGUACACAGUGGUUUUUGAACUUUCUUCUAGUAACUAAAAUUUUAGAAGUACGGCAUUGAAAGAAAUAUUGUAAUCAAACUUUGAAUGUGUGCAGACUGCAAAAUUGGGAAAUUAGCUUGGCACUUGCAAUUUUCAAUGUAAAUGUGUAGGAAUCGUGUGCCAUCCCUUCAAUUGUCUAAUAUUUUAAUUGAAAUCUAUAGAACUACGCUAUUUUUGCUCGAAUUAUUGCUACUAUGAUUACUUUGUCUAAAUCCUUAAUAAAAAGAAGUAUUCUUGAUUAGCUCCGUGAACUUCUCGAUUCAGUUAUGUGACAAAGAAUAUUAUUAGCU